UCAGCGAGUAGCUGAAAACACAGGUGGAUCCAGAGCCUGGAAACUGAAAUGAGGCAACUUCAGAGUGGGAAGCAGGCGUGACGGGACUUGUUGGCGCUUGUGUGGUUUCCUACAGUUGUCUCCAUGCUGUGGCAAGGGAGCCUCAUGCUGCCGGGUUUCCUCCCAAUGAGGAGCCAGAGCUGGUGGGACAUCAUGCUGAGCUGGGGAGCCAUAAGGAGAGCUAGGAGCCACCCAGCCUGUCUUGCCACCGGAUGGAGGACCGUGGCUUUGCCCAAGUAUAUGUAGCCACAGUGAGUGACUCCUGGAUGCUGUGCAGGAUCCCAGCCCCAACCUGAAGCACACCACCCAGCAUGCAUAUUUAUGAUCCCAAUUAUCACAAAAAAAACCCACACAAAACUCACAGGUUGCUGUGUAAAUAACUGAUUUUUAAUCUGAAUGGCCCAGCUUACAUAUUUCACCCAGCCCUGCUCAGCAGAACAGCUGGUGUUUACUGAUUUCUCAUUGCUUUUCCAAGCAACGUGGAAAGAUGCUGUCUGCAGAGUCACAGCUGCCCCUGAGAUAAGGAGAGCUCAGGUUUGCCACUGCUCCUCCACAUCCCGACAAGCCUUGGCAGCAGGGUGUGCCCAGCAGCUCUUCUCUGCUGACACCUGGGGCUGAUUAAUGAUGCCCCAUCCACAAACAGCAUCCCCAGCUGCACAGUGAGCACAGGGCUCCAGCAGAGCUCACUGAGCCACAGUGUAUUCCAAUCAGGGAUGCAGGAGGGUCAGCUGGGGUUGGUUAAGGUUGGGGUUAGGGGGCAAGUGCAGGCCCUUGGGAGGGGAGAGAUGGCUCCUACCCACACCACUGAAGUGCAAACUUCCUUCCCAAGCAGCAGCGCUGCCCCCACCCAACUGCUGGACUCUGACAUAGUCAGAUGUUUUCUACCCCUUGACUGUCCCAUAAGGAUCUGAGACUGGCAGUGGGUGAAGGCUGUGCCUGGUACAGCUGGGGAUGGGAAGAUCUCUCCACCUGGCACAGGCAGUAAGGAUUUGCAGUACUGUGCAAUGAGGGAAUGGUGAAAGGUGUCCACUCAUAGCAGCUAUUACUGCUGGAUAAUAAUAUUACUGCAAGAAAGAGUAAUUUCCAAGUAAUCCAAAUAACUCUAGCUAUCAUUAUGCUUCUGUCCAUAUCUAUAUUUGCAGUUACAAAUGCUUCCUUCUUUUCCUAGUGCCUCUGGAGGCUAACAGCAGAGCUACGAUGAGCCAGGAAUUAUUCUUGUCAUGGUAUUUCCACUGCCCAAGAAUGAGCAUAUGUUAAAGAAAUCCAGUCCCUCUUUAUUCCAGGGUUUAAAUGGCCCCCUGAGGAACCAAACAGCCAACUUUGGCUUUACAUGGGCUUGCACUGUGGCUGGCAGUGCUGAUGCUGGCGGUACCUUCAGAAGCACUCACUGAAUGUGAGGAUGUGAGGAGACCUGAUCCACCCUGUCCCCUAAUUUUUCCUCUGUCUACCCAUAAUGACCUUCAUGCUGAUGAAGAAGGGCUGGGUGAUGGUGGCCAGUGCCUAUAGGAUGGACACUGACAGCCCAGCUCCUCCAUCACAGCUCUGAUCUGCCUCUAUGCCCUGCAGAACCACGUCCUGUGCAGUCACCGUGCUUUGCACACACAUGGCUUCUCCUCAGUGUGCCUAAAAGGCAUCCAGCUCCCAGCCCUGCAGCACAGGUUUGAUGGAUGUCAUGCCAGCACACCCAGAAGGGGCAGAGGAUGAUAACCCCCAGCCCUGCUGCUCCAGGACCUGAGCCAUCAGAUGCGGUCACCUCCUCUGGCAUAAAGACCCCAAAGCAUUUACUUCUCAUAGACACUUCUCUCCAUGCCAGGAGAAGUCUCCUCUGUGGCUGGAGGAAUGCUGGAUCCUUGCUCUCCCUUGGGCUCAGACACAGGAGAUGGUAAGCACCAUGUUUCACCGUGUUGUUCUGAUGUUUAAUUAGUACUAGCCACCUUGACCUCUCAUCCCACUGGGAAAACAAAACCCCAAGGCCAGUGCUGAGCACUAGAUGUGUGCACAGCUGGGCUGCAUGCAGCUGUGCAGAUCCUGGCCUCUGGGUGAGCACCUGAUGUGAGCCCAUGGAACGCACCAGAGGGAUUCCAUGCACUGCCAUCCCCAAAGCUUCACUGUAUUUCAUAUGGGACAGAGAUUUAUCUUUUCUGAGCAUAGGGCUGAGGUUCUCCAAUGGCAUCGCUGAAAUCAGCAUUUCCAAAGUGCAGUGAUGAAAUAAAUGUUCUGCGCUCAGCAUCUACAAGCAGUGGGCCAUGUAAGUCAGACGGGGCGCUUUGCAACCGGUCCCUUUGUGAACCUCCAGCGGCUGCCAGCGCCCGGAGCCCCGCUCAGCCUCCGGUGCGAGCUGCAAACACGGGGCUGUGUUGCUCCCUGGCGGUGAGCGGCUGCCUCGCUGCCUCCUGGCUGCCUUCCCCUCCCCGCCCCGGACACUGCUUUUUCUUUCCCUGCCUCCCGAUGUUGAAGGGAGGCUGUGCUUUGUGUCAGUGUGGGGCACAGACCCGCAAGGAGUAGACAGCACUGAAAACAGCCAGGUUAAAUAAAGAGCUACUAUUCCACUUAAAACACGCUCGGGUCAGAGGACCAUGUGGGGACAGGCAGUACCCUGGUACCAUCCCCAUCACAUGCAGCUGCACUCCUGCUCCAGCACCAGCUGCUGGGGCUUCAUCCUGCCCCACUAUGCCAGCAGUGCCAUAUGCUCAGUCCUGUGCCUGAGGAAUGUGGGCAGAGCCCUAAGUCCCUCAUCUGGUGGGCACAAGAAGCCAAAACGAUGCUGAUGGCAGGACCUCUGCUGAAUGCUGCUCCUGGACAGCACAUGGAUCAUGCAUGUCCCAUGCUGACACAUCCAUCACUCAGACAACGUGGCCUCCUUCACUCAGCCACCUGGCCCGGUACGUGGCACAGCCCGGCACGUCCACAAGUCGCCGUGGGGCUCUGGGGAUGUCGGCCAGCUUGGCACCAAUGAGGCUCUGCA